AUGAUUGCAGAAUUUGAUUUAGUAAUGCAAGACCACCUUAGACGUAUCCAGAACAAAGAAAUUCAUUACCAUUAUCUCAGUCAUAAAAUUCAGAACGAGUUGAUAUCUCUUUUGGCUGCUGACAUCACAUGUUCUAUUAUAAAGGUUGUUAAAGAGGCCAAGUAUUUCUCUGUUAUCCUAGAUUGUACCCCUGAUGUUAGUCAUCAAGAACAAAUGACUUUUUUAGUUCGUUGUGUUAAUUUGUCGGAUGGGAAAAUAAAAAUUGAGGAGUACUUUCUAGGGUUCUUGAAGGUGGAUGACACUUCUGGCUUAGGGAUUUUUAAAUUAUGUGAUGCUUCUGACACUGAACCUAAGGAUAAAAGCGACGCAAAAAAUUUAUUUGAUGCACUUGGUCGCUUUGAGUUUCUAGUUGGUAUGAUUAUCUGGCAUGAUAUUCUGUUUGCUGUAAAUAAAGUUAGCAAGAUGCUGCAAUCGUCAACCAUGUGUAUUGACUCUGCUUUGAAGCAAAUAAAAGGUAUAACAGAAUAUUUUGGGAAGUACAGAGAUGAUGGGUUCUCUUCAAGUGUGACCAUCGCCAAAGGUAUUGCGACUCAAAUGGGAAUUGAUCCCGUGUUUCCAAUGAAACGUCGUGGUAAGAGGAAGAGACAGUUUGGUGAAAGUGAUUGUCAAGAAGAAAUUCUAGAAGCUGAGAAGGCUUUUCGUGUUAAAUAUUUUUUUGUUUUGGUUGAUAUGGCGGUCACUUCUUUGAAGGAUAGAUUUAAAGAACUAAUGGUGUUCAAAGAUAUCUUUGGAUUUUUAUUGAGCUCGGGCACUCUGAAGUCAUUAAGUGAUAAUGAACUUGAAGAGUGUUGCACAAAAUUUGCUGAAACAUUCUCUCUUGAUGGUUCAUCUGAUGUAGAGGUAUAUGAUCUUAUUUCUGAAUUGAAGAUUAUGAGAUUCACUUUGCCAAAUGGCGUAAUGUCUGCCAUGGAGAUUUUUGGGCAUGUUAGAGAAGUUGAUUGUUAUCCGAAUAUCUCCAUUGCUUAUCGCAUCUUAUUUACUGUGCCUGUGACGGUCGCAUCGGCCGAGAGAAGCUUUUCAAAGCUGAAAUUGUUGAAGAAUUAUUUGAGGUCAACUAUGACUCAAGAGAGGUUAAAUGGUUUGGCUACAUUAUGCAUCCGAGAAGAAAUUAUUGGAUGA
rnacentral:rRNA from 1 species